UACGUAGGUGACCAGCGUUGUCCGGAUUUACUGGGCGUAAAGAGCGCGCAGGCGGUCGUUCAAGUCGAGUGUGAAAGCCCCCGGCUCAACUGGGGAGGGUCAUUCGAUACUGAUCGACUUGAAGGCAGGAGAGGGAAGCGGAAUUCCCGGUGUAGUGGUGAAAUGCGUAGAUAUCGGAAGGAACAUCAGUGGCGAAAGCGACUUCCUGGACCAAUACUGACGCUCAUGUGCGAAAGCGUGGGGAGCAAACAGG
rnacentral:rRNA from 1 species